rnacentral:tRNA from 1 species
UGUCUCAUGGUGUAAUGGUAGCACUACAGUUUUUGGUACUGUCUGUCGAGGUUCGAAUCCUCGUGAGACAACCA